GAUGAACGCUGGCGGUGUGCCUAAUACAUGCAAGUCGAGCGAACAGACGAGGAGCUUACUCCUCUGACGUUAGCGGCGGACGGGUGAGUAACACGUGGAUAACCUACCUAUAAGACUGGGAUAACUUCGGGAAACCGGAGCUAAUACCGGAUAACAUGUUGAACCGCAUGGUUCAACAGUGAAAGACGGUCUUGCUGUCACUUAUAGAUGGAUCCGCGUCGCAUUAGCUAGUUGGUAAGGUAACGGCUUACCAAGGCAACGAUGCGUAGCCGACCUGAGAGGGUGAUCGGCCACACUGGAGCUGAGACACGGUCCAGACUCCUGCGGGAGGCAGCAGUAGGGAAUCUUCCGCAAUGGGCGGAAGCCUGACGGAGCAACGCCGCGUGAGUGAAGAAGGUCUUCGGAUCGUAAAACUCUGUUAUUAGGGAAGAACAAAUGUGUAAGUAACUAUGCACGUCUUGACGGUACCUAAUCAGAAAGCCACGGCUAACUACGUG
rnacentral:rRNA from 1 species